AUCAAUACCAGAUUUUUCUUAAAAUUUCCCAUGUUUCACUAUUUGACUAAUCUGACCACUCUUCAUUACGAAUCAAAUUUUUCAUUGUAAAAAAUUCAAAAUAUGUUCUCGUUUAUUCCAUUUGAAACUAGACUCAUUAAGCUUUAAUUACAUAAUUUAUGAAGCUUCUAACUCAUCUUCCACAAUUUAUGGUGAUUUUCCAAAGUCACGUUACUGCUGCUGUCCCAAGCAGAUUUAUUACCAAAUCACUCUUUCACACCUAACUUGCAUGCUUGUUAUUUAAACAUGUAUAUCACCAAUCAAUCAUCACAUAUCUAUGAUUUUACUUAAGUAUAAUCUCCAUUUCAUCAUUUUAAAGCACAACAUGUUAGCCGAUUUUUCCCCUUAGCAUCUAAGGCACAUGCAUGCUCAUUUGUUUGGCUCAACUUCACCUAUCUUCCAUUUUUCAUCAAAAGAACAUGAAACAACAACCAUUUCCUUCAUUUUAAUUCAUGACUAAAUGCUCACAACACAACUAAAAACCAAAAUAUGCUUCAAGAGUUAAGGUAGAAUCAAGAAGAACUCAUGAACAUCAAGAUAGAAGCAAACUACCAUGAACUUACCUUCAAUUUUCUUCCCCAAGUGACCGAACAUUCAAGAGCUUCCUCCUCUCCUUUCUCUUCUCUAACUUUCGGCUAUGAUAAACAAAGAUGGACAAACUUUGUUCUUUUCACCCCUUUUUCUUUUAAUAAAAUUUCAUAUUUCAUCCAUUUAAUUCUUUAAUACAAAAGACAUGAAAUGCCCAUCAUGGAACAUUUACCUAAACCAUUAUCAUGGAACAUUUACCUAACCCAUUAUCAUGGAAUAUUUACCUAAUCCAUUAUUAUGGAACAUUUACCUAACCCAUUAUCAAUUUGUACCAUGAAUUAUGGAUGUCAAGUGCUCAUAUUGUCUACAACAACAUGAUGGCUGGCCACUUCAUGUAAAAUGGGAGGUUUGACAUGCAAAUCCUCCUAUUUUGCACUACUAUUUAUUUGGCCACUACAAAUUAGCCUAUAACAUUUUCAAACAUUUUCACAUAGGUCCUAUUUCAUAAUUUCACUCACAAAUGACAAAAUCAGAGCAUGAAAUUUUGCCAACAUUCACAGAAUUCCCGAAAAUUGGGGCGUUACAACUCUACCCCCUUAAACAAAUUUCGGCCUCGAAAUUUACUUGAUCCAAAUAGUUGAGGGUAUUGUUGACGCAUAGUCUCUUCUGAUUCCCAAGUAACUUCUUCCCUUCCAUGAUUACACCAAAGCACUUUCACUAACGGGACAGAUUUCCUUCUCAGAACCUUAACAUCUCGAGCUAAUAUUUGUACAGGCUCCUCUUCAAUGGUCAAAUCAGUCUGAACUUCAAUUUCUGCAAUUGGCAGAACAUGAGCAGGGUCAGCACGAUAACGCCUUAACAUGGAGACGUGAAAAACAUCGUGAAUCCUGUCUAACUCUGGAGGCAAUUUCGACUGAUAAGCCACUGGGCCUACUCGCUUCAAAACCCGAUAAAGCCCAAUGAACCGCGGACUCAACUUGCCCUUCUUACCGAACCUUAAUAUCUUCUUCCAAGGAGAUACCUUUAAGAAGACCAUAUCACCUACUGAGUACUCAAUCUCCUUACGCUUCAAAUCUGCAUACGACUUUUUCCAAUCAGAUGCUUCUUUUAACCGGUCCCUAAUUAUUCUGACCUUAUCCUCAGUAUCAGCUACCAACUCUGGUCCAAGAAUUUGUCGCUCUCCUAGUUCAGUCCAACAACUAGGUGUACGACACCUUCGUCCAUACAGUGCUUUAUACGGUGCCAUUUGAAUACUCGUCUGGUAACUAUUAUUGUACGUAAAUUCUGCCAAUGGCAAGUAAUCCUCCCAACUACCUCGAAAAUCAAUCACGCAUCCCCUCAACAUGUCCUCCAGAAUCUGAAUAACCCUUUCUGAUUGACCAUCAGUCUCGGGAUGAAAAGCCGUACUAAAAUUCAAUCGCGUCCCCAACGCCUCAUAUAACUCUUGCCAGAUGUAAAUCUGGGAUCCCGAUCAGAAAUAAUUGAAACUGGGACUCCAUGAAGUUGCACAAUCUCCGCCACAUACAACUUGGCUAACUUUUGAAGUGAAAAGUCAGUACGAACAGGUAUGAAAUGGGCCGAUUUGGUCAACCUAUCCACAAUCACCCACAUCGAGUCUUUCUUUGAUGGUGUCAAGGGCAGCCCACUCACAAAGUCCAUGGUUACCCUCUCCUACUUCCAAAGUGGUAUCUUCACUGACUGUAACAGUCCAGAGGGUAAUUGAUGUUCAGCUUUCACUUGCUGGCAUGUCAGACAUUUCCCUACAAACUCCGUUACUUAUCGUUUAAGUCCAGGCCACCAGUACAAUUCUCGUAAGUCGUGAUACAACUUGUUCCCUCCAGGGUGCAUGGCACAAAGUCCUCCAUGAGCUUCCUUCAAUAUUGUCUGCCUCAAGUCAGAGUCCUUCGGAACACAAAUUCUUCCUCGGAAACACAGAACUCCUUCGCCAUUAAACCCAAACUCAGAAGUUUCCCCUUCCUUAACUUGUUGGAAACGAGCGACCAAAGACUCAUCGUUCAACUACUUUUUCUUAAUCUGAUCUACCCAGGUUGGCCUCACUUGCAACUCAGCCAACAGACCUCCAUCAUCAUACAGACUCAGACGAGCAAACAUUGCUCUCAGAUCAGAUACAGUUCUAUGACUUAGAGCAUCGACUACCACAUUAGCCUUGCCUGGGUGAUACUCGAUCGAACAGUCAUAAUCCUUAAGCAACUCAAUCCAUCUCCUUUGCCUAAGGUUCAGCUCCUUCUGAGUCAACAAAUACUUAAGACUCUUAUGGUCAGUGUAUAUAAUACACAUUUCUCUGUACAAGUAAUGUCUCCAAAUCUUAAGUGCGAAUAUCACUGCUGCCAACUCCAAAUCAUGAGUCGGAUAGUUCCCCUCAUGAGGCUUAAGCUGUCGUGAUGCAUAUGCAACCACCUUACCCUCUUGCAUUAACACGCAACCCAAACCCACGUGUGAUGCGUCACUGUACACACUAAAAUCUUUCCCAGACUCUGGCUAAAUUAACACAGGUGCUUCAGUCAGAACUUUCUUCAACUUCUCAAAAGCCUCCUGCUGGGUCUUAGUCCAUACAAACGGUACCCCUUUCCUUAUGAGUUUUGUCAGAGGUGCUGCCAUCACAGAAAAACCUUCCACAAACCUUCUGUAGUAUCCUGCCAACCCUAGGAAACUUCAAAUUUUCGACACCAUCCUAGGUGGCUUCCACUCCAAAAUUGCUUCAAUCUUUCGAGGGUCCACCUUAAUCCCUUCGGCAGAGACCACAUAUCUUAAGAAGGUUACCUCCCUCAACCAAAAUUCACACUUGCUGAACUUCGUAAAGAGUUCCUUCUCCCUUAACACUCGCAGCACUAUACGGAGAUGCUCAUCAUGUUUUUCUUCAGUUUUAGAAUAUACCAGGAUAUCGUCAAUAAAGACGACUACGAACUGAUCUAAAAAUGGUUGGAACACACGAUUCAUCAGAUCCAUAAAUGCUGCAUGAGCGUUCGUCAAUCCAAAUGGCAUAACCAGAAACUCGUAAUGACCAUACCGAGUCCUGAAUGCCGUCUUUUGGAUAUCUGCCUCCUUGACCUUUAACUGAUGAUAUCCAGAUCGAAGGUCGAUCUUGGAAAAUACAGAAGCUCCUCUAUGCUGGUCGAACAGAUCGUCAAUCCUUGGCAGUGAAUACUUAUUCUUAAUCGUCAGUUUGUUCAACUGGCGAUAAUCAAUGCACAUCCACAUCAUACCAUCCUUCUUUUUUCACGAAUAGCACCGGUGCUCCCCAUGGAGACACGCUUGGCCUAAUGAAGCCCCUAUCCAACAACUCUUGAAUUUGAGCCUUAAACUCCACUAACUCCUUCGAUGCCAUCCUAUACGGUGCGAUGGACACGGGCGCCGUUCCAGGCAAUAAAUCUAUUCCAAACUCAACUUCUCGGUUCGGAGGCAAUGCUGAAAGCUCCUCCAAAAAAACAUCUUGGAACUCCUUUACGGUCCUAACCUUAUCCACUGUCAGUCCCUCCUCUUCUGACUGACUUACAAAUGCCAAAUAGACCUCACAACCUUUCUGAAUCCACUUUUCGACCCUUAAUGCCGACACCACAUUGGACAAAUAAUCCCUUCGCUCACCUAUCACCAUAACCUCCUCAUCCUUUGUGGUCCUUAACACCAUUCGUUUAGCAGCACAAUCCAGGGUCGCCUUAUGCUUAACAAGCCAGUCCAUUCCCAAAAUGAGAUCAAACUCUCUGAACGGUAACUCCAUCAGAUCUCCAGCGAAAAUCCUACCUUGAGUUUCUAAGGUUACAUCCCUAUACAGUUUGUCUACCCUAACCGAGUGACCCAAAGGACUUAGUACAGAUACCCCACUCACAAUCUCCUCAGAGCAGUCCAAGUUGUCCAUAAUCCGUUCUGUAGUCUCUAACCAAUAUUCUGCCACAUUCGGGGCUAUACCAAACACGCCCCUAAAGAUCUCCGCUCCGUUAGCCCAAAGUCGUUCAGAAAUAGAUCCCCUAACUCCAUUGCCCGUACUUGCCCCAGCAACCCUUUCCAGAACAAGAAGCAUUACCUGUAACAAGGCAUCAUCCUCGGCACUGCGGUCAUGAGACUCUACCUUUGUUGCCGGUGGUACCGGUGCAUCCACCACCGGCAUAUGUCUCGAAGACGAAGAUCUCGCUCGAGCACUUCCUCGGCUCCGUCAACGGCCUCUUCCACGAACGUCUCUUGUACUCAUAUCGUAUUAUCUUGAUUACGAAGUUUUAUGCAUUGAUUCAAUAUUCCAGUGUUUAUUACAGAUGUUUUAUGAAUCAGACAGUAGUUCAAAGUUUGUUUUCGCAGAAUCGAAGUCUAGCUGCAGUUUCAGUCUCUUAUCAGAUUUUCCUAUGAUUUUAGUAUCAUCCUAUCUAAAGUAUCCUAAUAGGGUUUCAGUACAGACAGAUAAUUCAGAAAAAUAUUCAGAAAAAUUUAGAAUACUUACAGACUUGAGCCAGAGAUUCAGAAUGCCACCUUCUAAAGAUCUAAAUUUUGAAAAUCGAGUUUCUCGCAUUCUUUAUAAAAUUUUUGCUUUCGAAAAUAUUUGUUUUUGUAAACCCAUUCUACAGCCGAGUUGUUGCAACCUAGGCUCUGAUACCACUAAAUGUAACAUCCCAAACCCGGCCCAGACGUUAUGACCGGAUCCGACAUGCCACAUCGAAGCGUUCAAAACAUUUUAUAUUGUUGAUCCAGAAAAACAUACUUAGUGUUUUAAAAGAUAAUUUCAUUAUAGGUUAAAGUGAAUGGAAGCUGUGCACCAGGUAGGAAACCGGAAAAGAGGGGGUGAGUCCAUCGGACUGCUUAAGUACCAAGCUCCCUUCGGAUCCAAUCCUAGACAUGCAUACCACCAUUGCCACACCUUAACGUCAUGGAUAUUUCUAGGAAACCGAUUUGAUUAAGUCAUUUUUAGGAAAAGUGAUUAAUUUUGGAAAAUACUUUCAUUGCGAAAGCUUUGCUUGUUGUCGUGUUAUUUUGAAAUCAAUUGUUAUUUUUGAAAACGCGCCCUAAAGCUAUCCAAUUUCAACAGUUAAAAUAAGUAAUACCUAUCUUAGUAAUACAUAUUAAAACCAUCAAAAAUAAUUAGGCGGCCUUAUUACAUUUAAAAACCCAAAACUUCAACGUAAAUAAAAGGAUGUCCAGUUCACCAGAAGAAAAUCAAACUUUCAGAAUGGGUGGCCACUCCGAAUUCCCUCACAGCUCCAAGCCCACUAUGGUUGGGGAUUACCUGCGUGGAUGAAAAUAAAAGGGGUGAGUUUGGGGAAACUCAGUGUGUAAAUUAACCCAACCAUAGCCUAUAUCAGCUCAAACGACAGAAAUAGAAUAAGUUGGCCUUAGCCCAGAACAGAAUUCAGAAUAAAGCCCAUAGGCCCAUAACAGAUCAGAACAGAUAUUACAUGAAUGUAGAAAUUCCAACCCAGAUUAAUCCAUAACACCCCCGUACCAGCCUUACACUAUGUGGGGAGACUAUUCGACCCACCCAACCGCUACACACCACAGAAAUCGCAGCGAGGCUGCCAGAUAUUGUGACGAAGUCACCAGAUACAGAUAUUGUGGCAGAGCCACCAGAACAGAUAUAUGUGGUAGAGCCACCAGAUCAGAUAAUCGUGGCAUAGCCACCAGAAUAGAUAUAUGUGGCAGAGCAACCAGAUCGGAUAAUUGUGGCAUAGCCACUAGGACGCUUCCUCCAUAAUAUAACCCAUGUCCCCAUGCAACAAAUAUUAUGGUAGAGCCACCAGAAUAGAUAUAUGUGGCAGAGCCACCAGAUCAGAUAAUUGUGGCAUAGCCACCAGAACAGAUAUAUGUGGUAGAGCCACCAGAUCAGAUAAUUGUGGCAUAGCCACCAGGACGCUUCCUCCAUAAUAUAACCCAUGUCCCCAUGCAACAGAUAUAUAAUCAUGGCAUACAUCAUACAGAAUCAUAUUGUCAUGCUUUUCAGUCAAAAGUAACCCUAAGGGUAUAAUGGUAAUUUUGCACUUAGGGGUAUAACAGUAAUUUUCCAUACAUAGGGGUAUUCAAGUAAUUUAACUAUUCUUAAGGUUUUCAUGCAUAUCAUAGCCAUUUACAUACGAUCAGAAACACUUACCGCAUUUUUUUACCGACUUGGGCCUGUUGGCCCAUUAUCUCGUUUUUGGCCCAUUAAGCCUAGAAACAUCAAAAUGCACGGAAUCACGCACUCUGCAGUCUUAUCACUUUAAUUUACCAUAUACAUCAAACUAUUAAUCUCACAAGCAUUCGUACACUCGCAAGUUCUCAAAAUACCGGCUUUUCGGCUUUUGCAGAUCUAGUCUAUAAGAGGGUGUUAGUUACACACCUGUUUGCGACGAUAUAUUGACGAGAUCCAGACACGAACUGCCUACAAUUGGAUUACUAACACGUUAAUAUAACUAUUCAAAUACGAACUUCGUAUUAACCCCUUACAAUAUUUGGCCAACCACACCUACAGAUCAGAGUAAGCUUAUAAGAAAUCAAUAAGCAACUCAUUAACAAAUUUUUUUCAGUGUUUACCACAUAAUAAUAAUUUCACUGCAAGUUGUCUUCCUACACAAUAGUCACUAAAUCAUUUAUAAAUGGAGCUAAAAAACUCCAAAUCAAGUUCCGUUAAUUUUCCCUGAAAAUAGACUCAUAUAUCUUCUAUCCAUAAAAUUUUCAGAAUUUUUAGUAUGACCAAUCAAUACCAGAUUUUUCUUAAAGUUUCCCAUGUUUCACUAUUUGACUAAUCUGACCACUCUUCAUUAUGAAUCAAAUUUCUCAUUGUACAGAAUUCAAAAUAUGUUCUCGUUUAUUCCAUUUGAAACUAGACUCAUUAAGAUUUAAUUACAUAAUUUAUGCAGCUUCUAACUCAUCUCCCACAAUUUAUGGUGAUUUUCCAAAGUCACGUUACUGCUGCUGUCCCAAGCAGAUUUAUUACCAAAUCAC
rnacentral:lncRNA from 1 species